rnacentral:sRNA from 1 species
AUUUCUAUUAAUAUCGAUCCAAACCCGUCCCACCAUAUAACUCUCAUGAAAUAUUAUUUUUUAUAAGUUUAAAUAU